rnacentral:rRNA from 1 species
CAGUGGAGCAUGUGGUUUUAAUUCGAAAGCAACGCGCAGAACCUUACCAGGGCUAGAAAAACUGAGAAUCCUGACGAAACUCGGGAGUGCUCGCAAGAGAACUCAGGUCCAGGUGUUGCAUGGCUGUCGUCAGCUCAGUGUCGUGAGAUGUUGGGUUAAGUCCCGCAACGAGCGCAACCCUUAUCCUUAGUUGCCAUCAUUUGGUUGGGCACUCAAAGGAGACUGCCGGGGUCAACCCGGAGGAAGGUGGGGAUGACGUCAAGUCCUCAUGGCCCUUAUGUCCUGGGCUACACACGUGCUACAAUGGUUGGUACAAAGCGCUGCGAAGCCGCGAGGUGGAGCGAAUCGCAAAAAGCCAGCCUCAGUACGGAUUGCACUCUGCAACUCGAGUGCAUGAAGUCGGAAUUGCUAGUAAUCGCUGAUCAGCAGGCAGCGGUGAAUACGUUCCCGGGCCUUGUACACACCGCCCGUCACACCAUGGGAGUCGAGUGCUCCAGAAGUGGCCGCGCUAACCCGCAAGGGAGGCAGGUCCCCAAGGAGUGUUUGGUAACUGGGGUG